GUUAUAUGGUCAAGUGAAGAAGCGCAUACGGUGGAUGCCUUGGCAGUCAGAGGCGAUGAAAGACGUGGUAGCCUGCGAAAAGCUUCGGGGAGUCGGCAAACAGACUUUGAUCCGGAGAUGUCUGAAUGGGGGAACCCAGCCAUCAUAAGAUGGUUAUCUUGUACUGAAUACAUAGGUGCAAGAGGCGAACCAGGGGAACUGAAACAUCUAAGUACCCUGAGGAAAAGAAAUCAACCGAGAUUCCCUUAGUAGUGGCGAGCGAACGGGGACUAGCCCUUAAGUGGCUUUGAGAUUAGCGGAACGCUCUGGAAAGUGCGGCCAUAGUGGGUGAUAGCCCUGUACGCGAAAAUCUCUUGGUCAUGAAAUCGAGUAGGACGGGGCACGAGAAACCUUGUCUGAAUAUGGGGGGACCAUCCUCCAAGGCUAAAUACUACUGACUGACCGAUAGUGAACUAGUACCGUGAGGGAAAGGCGAAAAGAACCCCGGAGAGGGGAGUGAAAUAGAUCCUGAAACCGUAUGCGUACAAGCAGUGGGAGCCCACUUUGUUGGGUGACUGCGUACCUUUUGUAUAAUGGGUCAGCGACUUAUUUUCAGUGGCGAGCUUAACCGAAUAGGGGAGGCGUAGCGAAAGCGAGUCUUAAUAGGGCGUCUAGUCGCUGGGAAUAGACCCGAAACCGGGCGAUCUAUCCAUGGGCAGGUUGAAGGUUGGGUAACACUAACUGGAGGACCGAACCGACUACCGUUGAAAAGUUAGCGGAUGACCUGUGGAUCGGAGUGAAAGGCUAAUCAAGCUCGGAGAUAGCUGGUUCUCCUCGAAAGCUAUUUAGGUAGCGCCUCAUGUAUCACUGUAGGGGGUAGAGCACUGUUUCGGCUAGGGGGUCAUCCCGACUUACCAAACCGAUGCAAACUCCGAAUACCUACAAGUGCCGAGCAUGGGAGACACACGGCGGGUGCUAACGUCCGUCGUGAAAAGGGAAACAACCCAGACCGUCAGCUAAGGUCCCAAAGUCAUGGUUAAGUGGGAAACGAUGUGGGAAGGCUUAGACAGCUAGGAGGUUGGCUUAGAAGCAGCCACCCUUUAAAGAAAGCGUAAUAGCUCACUAGUCGAGUCGGCCUGCGCGGAAGAUGUAACGGGGCUCAAACCAUGCACCGAAGCUACGGGUAUCACUUAGGUGAUGCGGUAGAGGAGCGUUCUGUAAGCCUGUGAAGGUGAGUUGAGAAGCUUGCUGGAGGUAUCAGAAGUGCGAAUGCUGACAUGAGUAACGACAAUGGGUGUGAAAAACACCCACGCCGAAAGACCAAGGUUUCCUGCGCAACGUUAAUCGACGCAGGGUUAGUCGGUCCCUAAGGCGAGGCUGAAAAGCGUAGUCGAUGGAAAACAGGUUAAUAUUCCUGUACUUCUGGUUAUUGCGAUGGAGGGACGGAGAAGGCUAGGCCAGCUUGGCGUUGGUUGUCCAAGUUUAAGGUGGUAGGCUGAGAUCUUAGGUAAAUCCGGGAUCUUAAGGCCGAGAGCUGAUGACGAGUUAUCUUUUAGAUGACGAAGUGGUUGAUGCCAUGCUUCCAAGAAAAGCUUCUAAGCUUCAGGUAACCAGGAACCGUACCCCAAACCGACACAGGUGGUUGGGUAGAGAAUACCAAGGCGCUUGAGAGAACUCGGGUGAAGGAACUAGGCAAAAUGGCACCGUAACUUCGGGAGAAGGUGCGCCGGUGAGGGUGAAGGACUUGCUCCGUAAGCCCAUGCCGGUCGAAGAUACCAGGCCGCUGCGACUGUUUAUUAAAAACACAGCACUCUGCAAACACGAAAGUGGACGUAUAGGGUGUGACGCCUGCCCGGUGCCGGAAGGUUAAUUGAUGGGGUUAGCUAACGCGAAGCUCUUGAUCGAAGCCCCGGUAAACGGCGGCCGUAACUAUAACGGUCCUAAGGUAGCGAAAUUCCUUGUCGGGUAAGUUCCGACCUGCACGAAUGGCGUAACGAUGGCGGCGCUGUCUCCACCCGAGACUCAGUGAAAUUGAAAUCGCUGUGAAGAUGCAGUGUAUCCGCGGCUAGACGGAAAGACCCCGUGAACCUUUACUAUAGCUUUGCACUGGACUUUGAAUUUGCUUGUGUAGGAUAGGUGGGAGGCUUUGAAGCGUGGACGCCAGUUCGCGUGGAGCCAACCUUGAAAUACCACCCUGGCAACUUUGAGGUUCUAACUCAGGUCCGUUAUCCGGAUCGAGGACAGUGUAUGGUGGGUAGUUUGACUGGGGCGGUCUCCUCCUAAAGAGUAACGGAGGAGUACGAAGGUGCGCUCAGACCGGUCGGAAAUCGGUCGUAGAGUAUAAAGGCAAAAGCGCGCUUGACUGCGAGACAGACACGUCGAGCAGGUACGAAAGUAGGUCUUAGUGAUCCGGUGGUUCUGUAUGGAAGGGCCAUCGCUCAACGGAUAAAAGGUACUCCGGGGAUAACAGGCUGAUACCGCCCAAGAGUUCAUAUCGACGGCGGUGUUUGGCACCUCGAUGUCGGCUCAUCACAUCCUGGGGCUGAAGC
rnacentral:rRNA from 1 species